rnacentral:tRNA from 2 species
UUACCCCAAACUCCCAAAGCUAGGAUUCUAGCACUAAACUAUUCUUUG